CAGUAGCCGCGGUAAUACCAGCGCCUCGAGUGGUCAGGAGGUUUAUUGGGCCUAAAGCAUCCGUAGCCGGUUGCAUAAGUUUUCGGUUAAAUCUAUGCGCUUAACGUAUAGGCCGCCGAAAAUACUGUGCAGCUAGGGAGUGGGAGAGGUACACGGUACUCGAUAGGAAGGGGUAAAAUCCUUUGAUCUAUUGAUGACCACCUGUGGCGAAGGCGGUGUACCAGAACACGUUCGACGGUGAGGGAUGAAAGCUGGGGGAGCAAACCGGAUUAGAUACCCGCGUAGUCCCUGUCUCUUAUAC
rnacentral:rRNA from 1 species